CAAUAGCGUAUAUUAAAGUUGUUGCGGUUAAAAAGCUCGUAGUUGGAUUUCUGCUGAAGGCAGCCGGUCCAUGUUCGACAUGCGCAUCUGGAUUGACUUCGGCAUCCUCUCAGAUAACGAUUCUGUGCUUGAUCGCAUGGAGCGGAGUUUGAGACUUUUACUUUGAGGAAAAUAGAGUGUUCACGGCAGGCAAUCGCCCUGAAUAUAUUAGCAUGGAAUAAUAAAAUAGGAUCUUGGUUCUAUUUUGUUGGUUUCUAGAACGAAGAUAAUGAUUAAUAGGGACAAUUGGGGGCAUUCGUAUUAACGCGUCAGAGGUGGAAUUCUUGGAUUGCGUUACGACGAACUACUGCGAAAGCAUUUGCCAAGGAUGUUUNCAUUGA
rnacentral:rRNA from 1 species